CAUGCAAGUCGAACGGUAACAGGGUGCUUGCACCGCUGACGAGUGGCGAACGGGUGAGUAAUAUAUCGGAACGUACCUAGUAAUGGGGGAUAACUAUCCGAAAGGAUAGCUAAUACCGCAUACGCCCUGAGGGGGAAAGAGGGGGAUCGCAAGACCUCUCGUUAUUAGAGCGGCCGAUAUCAGAUUAGCUAGUUGGUGAGGUAAAGGCUCACCAAGGCCACGAUCUGUAGCGGGUCUUAGAGGACGAUCCGCCACACUGGAACUGAGACACGGUCCAGACUCCUACGGGAGGCAGCAGUGGGGAAUCUUGGACAAUGGGCGCAAGCCUGAUCCAGCAAUGCCGCGUGCGUGAAGAAGGCCUUCGGGUUGUAAAGCGCUUUUGUUCGGGAGGAAAUCCUAGUGGCUAAUAUCCAUUGGGGAUGACAGUACCGGAAGAAUAAGGACCGGCUAA
rnacentral:rRNA from 1 species